UCGUGCUAGGCGGGGAGUUAGCGGUGCCCUGAACCCGAAAUCCGCUAUAGCGGGGCUGAAUUCCCGCUUGAGAUCUUCAGUCUCCUGGUGCCGUCCUCAUUAAGCGGUGUUGAAGGCUGGGUCCUGCGCGGCAGAGAGCUAUGAACCCCGUCAGAUCCGGAAGGAAGCAGCGGUAAGUAGCCACCUCUGGGUGCCGCAGGGUUGCCUGGUCUGAGCUGGCUGAUGUGGGCGAGCCAGGGGGCGAGAGCGAGAGCGGGUGCACGA
rnacentral:SRP_RNA from 1 species